rnacentral:misc_RNA from 1 species
GUGAAUCAUCGAAUUUUUGAACGCAAAUUGCACUCUCCGGUUUUCCGGGAGAGUAUGCCUGUUUGAGGGUCAGCCUAAAAAAAAUCGACCUUGUUGCUGUUAUUUGAUGGUGACUUUCGUCGGAGAUUGGGUUAUCUUUAACCUUUUUUUUUUUUUUGGUUUUAGCGGAUUAAAGUUUUUCUUAGCUUUUCCGUGAACG